UACAGAGGUCCCAAGCGUUGUUCGGAUUCACUGGGCGUAAAGGGUGCGUAGGUGGUGAGGUAAGUCGGAUGUGAAAUCUCCGGGCUCAACCCGGAAAUGGCAUUGGAAACUACCUUGCUGGAGGAUUUGAGGGGGGAUUGGAAUACUUGGUGUAGCAGUGAAAUGCGUAGAUAUCAAGUGGAACACCAGUGGCGAAGGCGAGUCCCUGGAAAACUCCUGACACUGAGGCACGAAAGCUAGGGGAGCAAACAGG
rnacentral:rRNA from 1 species